CAGCAGCCGCGGGAAUACCGAGGGUGCGAGCGUUAAUCGGAUUUACUUGGCGUAAAGCGUGCGUAGGCGGCUUCUUAAGUCGGAUGUGAAAUCCCUGAGCUUAACUUAGGAAUUGCAUUCGAUACUGGGAAGCUAGAGUAUGGGAGAGGAUGGUAGAAUUCCAGGUGUAGCGGUGAAAUGCGUAGAGAUCUGGAGGAAUACCGAUGGCGAAGGCAGCCAUCUGGCCUAAUACUGACGCUGAGGUACGAAAGCAUGGGGAGCAAACAGGAUUAGAUACCCCCGUAGUCCCUGUCUCUUAUAC
rnacentral:rRNA from 1 species